rnacentral:RNase_P_RNA from 1 species
GAAAGUAGGUGAGGCGAUUGCAGGCUAGAGUGGAGCGAAUCGUUCCCUCCGGCUUGAGGAAAGUCCGGGCUCCCGAAAGACCAGACUUGCUGGGUAACGCCCAGUGCGGGCGACCGUGAGGAGAGUGCCACAGAAACAUACCGCCGAUGGUGGGGAUGGUUUCAUCCCUUCACAGGUAAGGGUGCAAAGGUGCGGUAAGAGCGCACCAGCAGCAUCGAGAGGUGCUGGCUCGGUAAACCCCGGUUGGGUGCAAGGUCGAAGGAACGACGGUUGGUCUUUUACCGGUUCCGCCGAAAAGAACCGCUCGAGGUGCUUGGUAACAAGCGUCCCAGAUAGAUAAUUGCCCUCUUGGCUGUGUUCGGCUAGGAGAACAGAACCCGGCUUACGACUGCUUUCUCUA